UACGUAGGGGGCAAGCGUUGUCCGGAAUUAUUGGGCGUAAAGAGCGUGUAGGCGGCCAGAUAAGUCCGCUGUGAAAACUCGAGGCUCAACCUCGAGAUGUCGGCGGAAACCAUCUGGCUAGAGUCCGGAAGAGGAGAGUGGAAUUCCUGGUGUAGCGGUGAAAUGCGCAGAUAUCAGGAAGAACACCUAUGGCGAAGGCAGCUCUCUGGGACGGUACUGACGCUGAGACGCGAAAGCGUGGGGAGCGAACAGG
rnacentral:rRNA from 1 species